CGUGUGAUAAACUAAAUUUGGAACAUUGUCGAAAAUCAGAAAAUGAAAAAAAAAUCUUGCGUGAAAUAAGAAAUCGUGACUGAUAAACAGUUAAUUCCCCCCCGAGUCGGGUUUGUGUACAGCCCAGUCAGCAGUCUGAACGACUGCACCCCAGUUUCAUGUAGCCUCUUCUGUGAGGUUUCUCUGGUGUUUAAAUGCAUCUCCAUUCAACAAUUUUCUGUUUUUCUAUACCAACAGCCACAAUCUCCCCUUAUUUUUAUUUGUCUUAAUUUUAACAACUUUUAAAUAAAUUAAUCUCUUAGCUAUGUGAUUUUGUACGUGAUAUGACUUCAAAGUCAGUCCCACGGCGAAAUGUCGUUGAAUUCGUCUCAAGAUAUGUUCGAGGAAAGCAGCGAGCACCUAAGUCCUCAGGAAGAUCCUGUUUGGCUCGGUGUUUCUCUGGAAGAUCUCAAGUCCUCAAGAAUUCACACUUAUCCGUCCAUCAGACCUUCGUAUAACCACACUGUGUUAUUCAAAUUACCUCUUCGAGAAGGACCUCCGGAGCCUCAUCCAACCAAAAAAUCAGACUUAUGGGACCUGAAUCAUGUCCGUAUGCCACAUUCGCCUCAGAGUUUAUACCCCGUCUCAGAGACCGAGCUCAAAUCAAGAUGGGGUGUUGUCAAAAGUGCACUUACGACGCAAAUUUCAACAAGUAAAGAACUUGAGGAUGCUAUAUUUUCAUACAAUUCCAAAAUUAGCCAGCAGUGUAAUUUUGAUGCCUUACAUACAUUUUUCUCAGAGACACUUGAGCCUGAAGAAUCGAAGUAUUUUUUUAAAUCUGUUUUGCCCGGAAUUAUCAAUAUGGCUUUAGAAAUUGAAGAUAAGUUUCGAGGUGGAAUACCUUUCCUUUUUAAAGGCGCAAACCGUAGUAUUAGUAUGUCCCAGGAACAGGUGUGUAUCCUGUUGGCAAAUGCCUUCCUUUGCACUUUUCCAAGGAGGAAUUCUUGUAAAAAUUUUCCAACGAUAAAUUUUAAUAGGCUUUUUCAAUGUGAUUCAUUAAGCAGUGUUCAACAGAAGCUCAAGUGUUUUAUCAAUUACUUCAGAAGAAUAAUAAAAAAAAAGCCAAAAGGCAUUAUUACAUUUACUAGAAGGCAUGUUAAACCUGAAGAACUUCCUGUUUGGUCAGAAAGAGAAGAGAAAUUUUGCAAACUUCAUAUCACAAGUGUUGGAACAAUCGAAGACCAAGGGGCAGGACUCAUGGAAGUUGAUUUCGCUAACAAAUUUGUCGGAGGCGGAGUGCUCGGAAGAGGGUCGGUUCAGGAAGAAAUUAAAUUUCUAAUUUGUCCAGAACUUGUCGUAUCAAGACUUUUCACUGAAUGCCUUGGCGAUACGGAAGCAUUUAUUGUUACUGGUUGCGAGAGGUUUAAUAAAUACGUAGGAUAUGCUGAUACUUUCACCUGGUCUGGAAAUUUUCUAGAAACAGAGUUGAAACGUGAUAGUUAUAAUAGGCUGAAUUCUGUCGUUGUCGCUAUUGAUGCGAGCGACUAUAGUCGAAAUUCCGAAGAUCAGUUUUCACAAGAGUCGAUAAACAGAGAACUCAAUAAAGCAUAUUCUGGAUUUUCAUUUGGCCCAGAAGGAAAUAUCGCUACGGGAAAUUGGGGAUGUGGGGUUUUCAACGGUGAUUCGAGAUUGAAAGCUCUACUUCAAAUAAUGGCUGCUUCUGUUUGUAAAAAAGGACUAGCUUAUUUCACUUUUGGAGAUGUCAAACUUAGAGAUGACAUUUUUAGUAUGUAUACAUUUUUAAAUAAGAAGGAUGUCAAUGUAGGCAUGCUGUGGCAAAUAAUAUCUGGAUAUUCGACAACUAGAUCAAACAGAACUGGGGCUUUAUUGUAUAAAUAUAUCUAUGAUAUGUUAGAAACCAAUUUAGAAAAAAUUGCAAUUGUUGCGAAGAAAGAGGAAGAAACUGAUCAGAGUGAAGAAGAUUUCGUUGAUAUAGUCCGUGCAAUGGAAGAAGUGGAAAGUAACCGAAAUGUGAAAACAGUAAAUCACAAGGGAAAAACGGUCAACUCCCAAAAUGGUGAAUGUUCAAGCAGAACGUCUUUGCCCCAACCAAAAUGUGCGGAGACCUAUUCUCUCAAGACCGAAGAGGGGAGGAAAAGGUGCUUAGAAACAGAACAUGAAAGAUGGGAAGCUUAUGAGAAAGCUUUGAACAAAUUUUCCAUUAUUGAUUCCAGAAGUGCGGAGAAACAGAAAAAUACACCUAAAAGAAAAAUCACCGACUAUUUCACGCAAAAUGAUUAGAGCAUCCGUCCUGAUCAUAGGAUCACCCAGUUAACCCAUUCAACGGGGUACCAAAAUCCAAGACCAUCGCCCAGUGUUUUGGAUCAUGACUCUACUCUGGUCAAAAAUAUGCAGGGAAAGUCUGAUUAUGCAAACCCGCAAAUCAACGCACUUUGUCCACUCCCCUUGGCUGGGCUCAACUAUUGACGAAUGAACAAUUUAGAAUUUUCGUAUUCCCAACUAUUUCAUAAACCUAUUUUGACUACUUUUUCUUACCAAAGUGUAAAUGAGGGAAAAUAUUUUUAUGC